rnacentral:rRNA from 1 species
UACGGGGGGGGCAAGCGUUGUUCGGAAUUACUGGGCGUAAAGGGCUCGUAGGCGGCCAACUAAGUCAGACGUGAAAUCCCCAGGCUCAACCUGGGAACUGCGUCUGAUACUGGAUGGCUUGAAUCCGGGAGAGGGAUGCAGAAUUCCAGGUGUAGCGGUGAAAUGCGUAGAUAUCUGGAGGAAUACCGGUGGCGAAGGCGGCAUCCUGGACCGGCAUUGACGCUGAGACGCGAAAGCGUGGGGAGCAAACAGG